AAGUCGUAACAAGGUUUCCGUAGGUGAACCUGCACGUAUCCAAACGUUAAACCCGCCUGUGAACCUUCAGUCGUACUCGUACGUCCGUUAGAAAAAGCAGCAAUCCCUGGUAAAUCAUCGCCGAACAGUUUUCGAUUCAGGGACGUUGGCAUCCCCAAGCAGUUAGUGUCUGAAAGUGUCACUAACGUUAGUGUCUGAAAGUGUCACUAACAUGUGUAAGGAUGACGCAGUCACGAUCGUUGGAGGCCCACACGGCCGACGACCGGGUCACUGGGUGCAAGCCCCCUUAUCACACCCCUGCUCUAUCUAUGGUGAUCCUGCGGGAAGUCCUGCGGUCGAACGCCGAAACCGAACAACUGUUAACAAUGGAUAUCUUGGUUCUC
rnacentral:misc_RNA from 1 species